GGUGUUCUCAUUCCUGACACGGAUCACACAACUCCAGUUCACGACAAUCUCGAAAAUCUCCCUAAUCAAGUUCCUGAUAUUAGUAAUGAAAAUCAAACACAACAACCUAAAGAAACUGAAGUGCCAUUAAGGAGAUCCACUAGAGAGAGGAGAAAUGCAAUUCCAGAUGAUUAUGUUGUAUUUCUCCAAGAACAAGAAAGUGAUAUUG
rnacentral:lncRNA from 1 species